CACGCGCAUCCUGAGCUGAGCCCGGAUCGAUCUCGGGCACUGGUCGAUCCCGGGCGAUCCAGGGACAUCACGCGCGAGGAAUAUCCCCAGGGGGAACCCUACCGCAGCCCCUCCCCGCCUUUCGUCAUCUGCACGCAUUGGUUUAGAGACACGCAUCUCGCGUACGAGCUCGAAGCCGCCGCCGUAUUCUCCAGUCGUUCUCGUCGCCCGGAGAGAGAGGAACGACGCCGCCAUCGAUGCCUGACUUCGCCGGAGCAUGCUGGAGUUCAGGAGCUCGCCACGGCCGCUCGAGGGAGCCCCCUCGCCCUUGAACACCACCACUACCUCCGCCACUCGAUGCCUCCUCCGCCCGCCACUUCGCCCUCGCCGGAUACUCGCCGGAGGAGCGCUGCCGCCGCCGCUCGAAGCCGCCGCCUUCUUUCUCUGCUUUGCUGAUUGUCCGGAGUGGGACGUGAGCUAUUGUCAGGAGUGUGACUUUUUGAACCAGAUCCAAGGCAAGUUACAUGUUGAUCAUCCUUUACCUAUUGUUUUCUAUGCACGUAGUAUAUAUCACACUAUGAAUAUAUGCAUGUAUAGGGUUACUAUAUUAUUUUGCUAUAUUGUUGAGCUAUCUUCCGUCAAUGCAGAUCGUGGUAGUUAUAGUUUUGCUAUGCUUGUAGACGGGGUUGGUUCAUGUAUACAUCGAGCUUAUGUGAGGAUUAUAUAUAUAACAAAUCGAGUAGUAAUUAAGGAUAUAACUCACCUCUGGGCGGAAUUGGUAUUGAUGGGUGGUUUCAAGAACAUCAUGGUCUAUACCCUCUGAAUAUAAGUGGACGGCCGCCCAGGCUCAAAAAGAUCAAACAGACUUAGUGACUAGUAGCUUCCAUGUGCAACCACUAGCUAAAUGGGCUCUGGCUUAGUUGAGUAGGUUGUGGGAUCCUCGUCCAGGUCAGCUAGCAGAUGUAGAUAUGAGUAGGUGUACCAGCUGCCGGUGGGUGGAGGUGACUACUUCUAAAAGACUUCGUCUCAAUCUUCGGGUUGAGUCUAGUGGG